CGGUAAUUCCAGCUCCAAUAGCGUAUACUAAAGUUGUUGCAGUUAAAAAGCUCGUAGUUGGAUUUCUGCGGGGACGGAGCGGCCGGACGCAACUUGCGUCUCGAGCUAGCGCUUUCCCCACAUCCUGCCGCGAACCGUGCUACCAUUAGCUUGGUGGCGCUGGGGAUCGGCUCGAUUACUUUGAGAAAAAUAGAGUGUUCAAAGCAGGCCACACGCCUUGAAUAAGUUAGCAUGGAAUAAUGAUUAAGGACUUCGGUUCUACUUUGUUGGUGUUCGGGACUGAAGUAAUGAUUGAUAGGGACAGUUGGGGCGGUCUGUAUUCCAAAGCGAGAGGUGAAAUUCUUAGACCUUCGGAAGACAAACAGCUGCGAAAGCGUUCCGCAAGGAUGUUCCCUUUGAUCAAGAACGAAAGUUGGGGGAUCGAAGACGAUCAGAUACCGUCGUAGUCUCAACUAUAAACUAUACCAGCUAGGGAUCGGCCAACGUUUAACUUUAUCGACUUGGUCGGCACCUUAUGAGAAAUCAAAGCAUCUGGGUUCCGGGGGGAGUAUGGUCGCAAGGCUGAAACUUAAAGGAAUUGACGGAAGGGCACCACCAGGCGUGGAGCCUGUGGCUUAAUUUGACUCAACACGGGAAAACUUACCAGGUCCAGACAUAGGAAGGAUUGACAGAUUGAUAGCUCUUUCUUGAUUCUGUGGGUGGUGGUGCAUGGCCGUUUUUAGUCGGUGAAGUGAUUUGUCUGCUUAAUUGCGUUAACGGACGAGACCCCAGCCUGCUAAAUAGCGCGGCCGAGCUUUGCUCGGUACGAGCUUCUUAGAGGGACCAUGAUGCGCGAUAGCACAAGGAAGUUUGGGGCAACAACAGGUCUGUGAUGCCCUUAGAUGUUCUGGGCCGCACACGGGCUACACUGGCGCCUGCAACGAGCAUAUCAGCUGGCCCGAGAGGGUCUUGGCUAAUCUUUGGAACCGGCGCCGUGCUUGGGAUUGACCAUUGCAAUUGUUGGUCAUGCAACGAGGAAUGCCUUGUAAACGCGAGUCAUCAGCUCGCAUUGAAUACGUCCCUGCCCUUUGUACACACCGCCCGUCGCUCCUACCGAUGAAUGUUCCGAUGAAAUUUUCGGAGAGCGCCAGAGAACGGGGCUCUGCCUUGCAGAUCUGGAGGCUCAAAGUCACUUAAAUCUGAACAUUUCGAGGAAGGAGAAGUCGUAACAAGGUAACC
rnacentral:rRNA from 1 species